rnacentral:rRNA from 1 species
UACGGAGGGUGCAAGCGUUAUCCGGAUUCACUGGGCUUAAAGGGUGCGUAGGUGGGCAGGUAAGUCAGUGGUGAAAUCUCCGGGCUUAACCCGGAAACUGCCGUUGAUACUAUUUGUCUUGAAUAUUGUGGAGGUAAGCGGAAUAUGUCAUGUAGCGGUGAAAUGCUUAGAUAUGACACAGAACACCCAUUGCGAAGGCAGCUUACAAAACUACAACUGACACUGAGGCACGAAAGCGUGGGGAUCAAACAGG